rnacentral:rRNA from 1 species
CCUACGGGUGGCAGCAGUGAGGAAUAUUGGUCAAUGGGCGCGAGCCUGAACCAGCCAAGUCGCGUGAGGGAAGACGGUCCUAUGGAUUGUAAACCUCUUUUGCCGGGGAGCAAAAGACGCCACGCGUGGCGUUCCGAGAGUACCCGAAGAAAAAGCAUCGGCUAACUCCGUGCCAGCAGCCGCGGUUAUACGGAGGAUGCGAGCGUUAUCCGGUUUUAGUGGGUUAAAGGGGUGCGCAGGCGGAAGAUCAAGUCAGCGGUAAAAUUGAGGGGCUCAACCUCUUCGAGCCGUUGAAACUGGUGUUCUUGAGUGAGUGAGAAGUAUGCGGAAUGCGUGGUGUAGCGGUGAAAUGCAUAGAUAUCACGCAGAACUCCGAUUGCGAAGGCAGCAUACCGGCGCUCAACUGACGCUCAUGCACGAAAGUGUGGGUAUCGAACAGGAUUAGAUACCCGUGUAGUC